AGUAAAGAAGUAAAAAAUUUACAUUUAGUUUCGACCUAAAAUUAGGGAUAAAGUAUAAUUCCCCUUACUU
rnacentral:tRNA from 1 species